ACUGCAGACUGAAGAAGAGAGACCAAACCACUGAGCAGACAUACAACACAUUUCCACCAUGACUUCAGCUACAUGUAUAAUGUUUCUGAUGCUAUCAUGGAUUUCUGGUGUUUGCAGUCAGACUCUGACUGAGUCUGAACCAGUGGUAAAGCGCCCUGGAGAAUCCCACAAACUCACCUGUACAUAUGCAGGAAUAUCAGAUAGCAGCGCAGAUAUCUCCUGGAUCAGACAAGCUGAAGGAAAAGGACUGGAGUGGGUUGCUUACAUUUCCGCUUUGAGUGGAAGCACUAAAGCUUAUUCCACGUCAGUCAAGAAUCGCUUCACCAUUUCCAGAGACAACAACGUGGACCAGGUGUAUCUGCAGAUGAACAGCUUGACGGCUGAAGAUUCUGCUGUUUAUUAUUGUGCUCGAGAGCCACAGUGACACAGGAAGCCACAGAGCUGUACAAAAACUCAACAUGUCAAACUAAGUCAAUACUAGGCGUUCUGCUUUUCACUUUCACAGAAUCAGCUUCAGUUCAACAUCUUCAACACACUCAGAGAAACACAGUCUCAAUAAAACCUCCUCAUUCAGACAAUUUUUAUUGCAGCUCUGGUGUUACAG